rnacentral:rRNA from 1 species
GACGAACGCUGGCGGCGUGCUUAACACAUGCAAGUCGAACGGUGAAGCUCCAGCUUGCUGGCGUGGAUCAGUGGCGAACGGGUGAGUAACACGUGAGCAACCUGCCCCUGACUCUGGAAUAAGCGCUGGAAACGGCGUCUAAUACUGGAUACGAGAAGGGUCCGCAUGGGCACUUUCUGGAAGUUUUUUCGGUUGGGGAUGGUCCCCCGGCUUUUCAGUUUGUUGGUGGGGAAAUGGCUAACCAAGCCUACGACGGGUAGCCGGCCUGAGAGGGCGACCGGCCACAAUGGGACUGAGACACGGCCCAGACUCCUACGGGAGGCAGCAGUGGGGAAUAUUGCACAAUGGGCGAAAGCCUGAUGCAGCGACGCCGCGUGAGGGAUGACGGCCUUCGGGUUGUAAACCUCUUUCAGCAGGGAAGAAGCGAAAGUGACGGUACCUGCAGAAGAAGCACCGGCUAACUACGUG